rnacentral:lncRNA from 1 species
UUGCUUCCCUGCAAAGAGGCUGGCCAAGCUGGUCUUCCCCACUCCAGGAUCUCCAAGUAGCACCACACGGUAGAGAGCCUCCCAGGAGCCUUCAGAGUCGCUGGAUUCAGAAGACCAAUCAUCUGGGGCAGCAGCCUCCCCAGGAGCCCCGUGGCCAUGACACAGCUGCUUCUGUUCCUUGUGGCUCUCCUGGUUCUGGGUCAUGUGCCAUCAGGUAACAACAUCGUGUGCAUGUGUGUGUGUGUGUGUGUGCACAUGUGUGCUUGUAAAAAUGAGGACUAGACUCUCAGGUCCUGGAGGACAGAGGGGCCUCUAUCAGCAUUUAAGUUCUGGCCCCACCACUGACUUGGUGGGCAACUUAGAGCAAGUUGCUAAAUCAGCCUGUACCUCAGUUUCCUAAUCUAUAAAAUGGGAUUCUCUCAAUAAAUAUUCAUUUAUGUUAUGAUGGUUGUGAAAUAAUAACAGUGAAAGACAUGUAGCAGUGAAAGAAAAGAAGGUCCUUGCUUUCAUGCAGCUGACACUUUAGUUGGUGGAGAUAGAAAAUAAGUGGAUAAACAUAUGUUGGGUGGUG